rnacentral:sRNA from 1 species
GGUUAGCCCCGAUAGCAGUGGAAAUCCUUUCUAGUCCUGAACUUGUUUCAGGAUCCUGAAACAAGUUCAGGACUAGAAAGAUUGUAACGGAUAGCGGGAUUAGCU